AAUGAACGCUGGCGGCGUGCUUAACACAUGCAAGUCGAACGAUGAAAGCGAGAGCUUGCUCUUGCUGGAUUAGUGGCGAACGGGUGAGUAACACGUGAGCAAUCUGCCCCGAACUCUGGGAUAAGCGUUGGAAACGACGUCUAAUACCGGAUACGACGCGCGAAGGCAUCUUCUGCGCGUGGAAAGAAUUUCGGUUCGGGAUGAGCUCGCGGCCUAUCAGCUAGUUGGUGAGGUAACGGCUCACCAAGGCGACGACGGGUAGCCGGCCUGAGAGGGUGACAGGACAAACUGGGACGGAGACACGGCCCAGACUCCUACGGGAGGCAGCAGUGGGGAAUAUUGAACAAUGGGCGAAAGCCUGAUGCAGCAACGCCGCGUGAGGGACGACGGCCUUCGGGUUGUAAACCUCUUUUAGUAGGGAAGAAGCGAAAGUGACGGUACCGGCAGAAAAAGCACCGGCUAACUACGUGCCAGCCGCCGCAGUAACAC
rnacentral:rRNA from 1 species